UACGUAGGGUGCAAGCGUUAAUCGGAAUUACUGGGCGUAAAGCGUGCGCAGGCGGCUUUGCAAGACAGAUGUGAAAUCCCCGGGCUCAACCUGGGAACUGCAUUUGUGACUGCAAGGCUGGAGUACGGCAGAGGGGGAUGGAAUUCCGCGUGUAGCAGUGAAAUGCGUAGAUAUGCGGAGGAACACCGAUGGCGAAGGCAAUCCCCUGGGCCUGUACUGACGCUCAUGCACGAAGGCGUGGGGAGCAAACAGG
rnacentral:rRNA from 1 species